CCCCUCUCAGGAUCACCCUUGGAGAGUUUCCUGUGCUCUACCAGUCUGGGCUAUGGGAGGGAGAGUCAAGCGGAGACCUGCAUUCCACUCCUAGUUUGGCCAGUGUCUAGUGAGUGGAAGGCAAUCUGCUACAAAU